AAGGAAUAUUGGUCAAUGGACGAAAGUCUGAACCAGCUAUGCCGCGUGGAGGAUGAAGGCCCUCUGGGUUGUAAACUUCUUUUAUAUGGGACGAAAAAGGGCCUUUCUAGGUCAACUGACGGUACCAUGUGAAUAAGCACCGGCUAACUCCGUGCCAGCAGCCGCGGUAAUACGGAGGGUGCAAGCGUUAUCCGGAUUCACUGGGGUUAAAGGGUGCGUAGGUGGGCUGGUAAGUCAGUGGUGAAAUCUCCGAGCUUAACUUGGAAACUGCCAUUGAUACUAUCAGUCUUGAAUAUUGUGGAGGUUAGCGGAAUAUGUCAUGUAGCGGUGAAAUGCUUAGAUAUGACAUAGAACACCAAUUGCGAAGGCAGCUGGCUACACAUAUAUUGACACUGAGGCACGAAAGCGUGGGGAUCAAAC
rnacentral:rRNA from 1 species